UGAGGAAUAUUGGACAAUGGGCGAAAGCCUGAUCCAGCAAUGCCGCGUGAAUGAUGAAGGCCUUAGGGUUGUAAAGUUCUUUUAGCAGGGAAGAUAAUGACGGUACCUGCAGAAAAAGCCCCGGCUAACUCCGUGCCAGCAGCCGCGGUAAGACGGAGGGGGCUAGCGUUGUUCGGAAUUACUGGGCGUAAAGGGCGCGUAGGCGGUUUAGUAAGUUGGAAGUAAAAUCCCGGGGCUUAACCUCGGAAUGUCUUUCAAAACUGCUAGGCUAGAGUGUAAUAGGGGAUGAUGGAAUUCCUAGUGUAGAGGUGAAAUUCUUAGAUAUUAGGAGGAACACCGGUGGCGAAGGCGAUCAUCUGGGUUAUUACUGACGCUGAGGCGCGAAAGCGUGGGGAGCAAACA
rnacentral:rRNA from 1 species